rnacentral:rRNA from 1 species
CCUACGGGUGGCCGCAGUGAGGAAUAUUGGUCAAUGGGCGGAAGCCUGAACCAGCCAAGUCGCGUGAGGGAAUAAGGCCCUACGGGUCGUAAACCUCUUUUGCCGGGGCGCAAGGGCGGGGACGUGUCCCGGCCCGGAGAGUACCCGGAGAAACAGCAUCGGCUAACUCCGUGCCAGCAGCCGCGGUAAUACGGAGGAUGCGAGCGUUAUCCGGAUUUAUUGGGUUUAAAGUGUGCGUAGGCGGGCUUUUAAGUCAGCGGUAAAAAUUCGGGGCUCAAACCCGUCCGGCCGUUGAAACUGGGGGCCUUGAGGGGGCGAGAAGAAGGCGGAAGGCGUGGUGUAGCGGUGAAAUGCGUAGAUAUUAGGAGGAACACCAGUGGCGAAGGCGGCUUACUGGACUGUAACUGACGUUGAGGCUCGAAAGCGUGGGGAGCAAACAGGAUUAGAUACCCCUGUAGUC